UCAGGAUUGAGGAAAACUCUUGUUCAUUGUGUGUGUGAGUGUUCGUAUUCUUAAUAAGGUAGAGGAGUGUGGCUCCUCUUUGUCUUGUUUGUUUAUAUAUGAAUUUAUGAAAGAUGGCAAGAAGGAGAGUGUGUGAUGGUGAUGAAAUAGUGUUUAUCUUAGAUGAAAGCAGUGGAAGUGUAUCAGGUAUUGGUUCGUGUGAUGGUGAUUGUGAAAUAAACGAUGCUGGUGUCACUGAGAGCGAGAGCCGUGCAAGUGACAUGGGCAGCGUAGAAAGACUGAAGGAUUGUUUACAAGCGGCUUCAGAACGCGACAAUUGAAACAAACUGAGUUGAGGUAAAUCCUUCGAGCCGUUGAUUAACAGCAAGCCAAAGCAGGAAUACAGACUCAAAGGAACAUCUUUACUCGGUGUUUGCGGUACGCCGUAUGUUUCGCCCUGGAGAACCAAGGGUGGAAAAACAGAUUUCAGAGGAUGCUACACAAGAAAUACAUUCGUCCAUCAAGUUCUGGUACCGAGGAAAGUGAAUCAGGACGCUGAGUUAUUGUCCUGCUGGCUCCCACACUUCUGCGAAUGCGGUACGAGCAGGCGCAGAAAGCGGGAUCUCCCGGAUGAUUCCGAUAAAGUGCAUUACAAGGCCCUGCAUUAAAUGGUAGAACUCUGGCCUAACCAUGACUUCAUAUCGCCAGGAGUGGUGACAGAAUACGGGGUCCUGGAGCCAGUCUCGACAUGAAUAAAAUAAAGAAAAGACGAGGGCAUGUGUGGUUUUAUUAAGACUAACUACGGCCAUUGCUUUAUCGAACUCAUUGAAGGUUACCACGAAGGAGGGUGGCCUGCACCUACGCGUAGUGCUUUGGAUUUCAGCAAACAAAGACAAAACCUGCGGCACUGGCAGCUGGGAAGAACGCUUGAGGUUGGAGCACAGACGGCUUCGGGUCGCGAAGCCGACCACUUGAAUUCACGAUUGAAUAUUGAGAAUUUGGAACUGGUUCUAUUCAGGUUUAGAUAUAUGAGGUUAAUACUUGUAAUCAUUAGGUUAGGAACCUUGUAUUUUUGUGUGUCAUUCACUAUCUCGAUGUCUUAGUUGAUUUUGUUAUAAUAUGUCUUUAUAUUAACGAAGUUAGGGCUUCUGAAUUAACACGGCAACCCCCUCGUCUCCACCCACCUCCAACAUCACCACCUCCCAGGUGUGUAUGCAACAAUUGGUGGCAGCGUCGUGAUAAUACACGUCCUUUUAAAAUGUUGAAGGGUUGUGUUUGACGAACCCGAACUCCGAAAUCAGUAAACAUACCUGAGGGGGUGAUUCAUGGAGGUGUCCGAGAAUUAGAGAGUGAAUGUGGGUAACUGUUCAAAAAUGUGCGAUUAAUGUCAUGUCGUAGACCUCCUCUGUUAACGCAUAAAUGUACAGUUUUGUUAGUGCACGUGGUUGGAGCAACGAGUAGUGAAGCCCUGAAAGGAUCAAACGUAUUUCCUCUAACAGUUGUUUAAAACUUCUUUCAGGAAAUACACUAAAAUUAACCCACAACUCGUGAACGAAUUCUCACACAAUUUUCAGCACUUAAAAAUAGAUUCGCGGUUAGAAAACCUUUUUAUCUUAACGAGGGCAUGAACAGUCGAGGACGCGGCGGCAAAGUUGCGACACCACGAACUCUUAGCAGGUGUACGUACUAUCAUUCAACUUGGCAUCAUCGUGGCCAAUGCCCUAACCUAACAAGAAAUCCCCUAAUUCAGAAGAGAAAGGGACCCACCUAACACUAAGGCUGCUUUCACCCGUGAGCCGGUAUGCGGUCGGCUCACAUGACCCUCCACUAGGGUUACCAACUUCAUUCAGUCCCUCUAACAACAUUUUCAGUGUUUUAGCAGCAUUCAUCAAAUCAUGUUGGAACUUGAAGAAGUAAUAGUAAUAUUUUAUAGCAUAAAUAUUAUAAAUGUUUAAUAAAUAGUACCUAUUAUUAA